UAGGGAAUCUUCCACAAUGGACGCAAGUCUGAUGGAGCAACGCCGCGUGAGUGAAGAAGGUUUUCGGACCGUAAAGCUCUGUUGUUGGUGAAGAAGGAUAGAGGUAGUAAACUGGCCCUUUAUUUGACGGUAAUCAACCAGAAAGUCACGGCUAACUACGUGCCAGCAGCCGCGGUAAUACGUAGGUGGCAAGCGUUGUCCGGAUUUAUUGGGCGUAAAGCGAGCGCAGGCGGAAGAAUAAGUCUGAUGUGAAAGCCCUCGGCUUAACCGAGGAAUUGCAUCGGAAACUGUUUUCUUGAGUGCAGAAGAGGAGAGUAGAACUCCAUGUGUAGCGGUGGAAUGCGUAGAUAUAUGGAAGAAUACCAGUGGCGAAGGCGGCUCUCUGGUCUGCAACUGACGCUGAGGCUCGA
rnacentral:rRNA from 1 species